UUUGGCCAGUGGAGGCACUCUUGUGCAGCGACUGCCGCGUGAGUGACGAAGGCCUUCGGGUCGUAAAGCUCUGUUGGCGGGGACGAUAAAUGACGGUACCCGGAGAAGAAGCCCCGGCUAACUUCGUGCCAGCAGCCGCGGUAAUACGAAGGGGGCUAGCGUUGUUCGGAAUUACUGGGCGUAAAGCGCGUGUAGGCGGUUUUCCAAGUUGGGUGUGAAAGCCUUGGGCUUAACCCAAGAAAUGCACUCAGUACUGGAAGACUAGAGGACCGGAGAGGAUAGUGGAAUUCCCAGUGUAGUGGUGAAAUACGUAGAGAUUGGGAAGAACACCAGUGGCGAAGGCGGCUAUCUGGACGGUUUCUGACGCUAAGACGCGAAA
rnacentral:rRNA from 1 species